rnacentral:lncRNA from 1 species
GGCAAACAAUCCCUACAAACGAAUUCGAAUCAUUAUAUCAGGAAGCUUAUACUACCAUGGAGAGAAGCAAGGUGCUUAUGCUGGCAAUCCUUCCGUGCAUCCUAAUAUUUUCUCAGGGUAAGUACACACCAUCAAUUAGGUGAACUUCUAGUAAGAUUGGUUAGUCUACAUAAUUUUGGACAAUCCGGUUGAGAAGCACUACAUAUUUUUUUUUCCGAAUAUUGAAGCACAACAUAAUUUUACCAAAUACCGGACUAAAUGAGAACACACGUACUUGCAUGCAGGACAAACAACUGAUCAAGUGGAUAGUAGCAAGAUCCAACUGUGCGGGUGCCAAGAGAAAUCUCAUCCCUGCCUGAAUAAUUUAUGUUUCUGUUGUGUACUGGAGCAAGAUGUUUGCUUUAGGAUCAUCAACGAAUGCAUUUGUGGUCCUAAUUGCACCUCUUUACAUCCAACCUUCCCUCCUCCCCUCUCUUUGCCUUAAAACACUGCCAGAUUGUUGCGAUGAAAAGUAAUGUCAUCGAUAUCUUGCAAUAAAGAAAAUAAGUUGUAGUCAUUACAGGCAUAGCUUUACCAAAAUGAUAAGCGCCAACAUGUGGCAUGAAGCAACAUGGUCCAAACGCUUUCAUUACUAUCCAUUUUGCCACAUCAAACAGAUGAUAUCAACAUAAUCUUUUUAGUUUUUUAGACUUAAAAAUUAUUUAUC